UGGGGAAUAUUGCACAAUGGGCGAAAGCCUGAUGCAGCAACGCCGCGUGAGUGAUGAAGGUCUUCGGAUUGUAAAGCUCUGUCUUUUGGGACGAUAAUGACGGUACCAAAGGAGGAAGCCACGGCUAACUACGUGCCAGCAGCCGCGGUAAUACGUAGGUGGCGAGCGUUGUCCGGAUUUACUGGGCGUAAAGGGUGCGUAGGCGGAUGUUUAAGUGAGAUGUGAAAUACCCGGGCUUAACUUGGGUGCUGCAUUUCAAACUGGAUAUCUAGAGUGCAGGAGAGGAGAAUGGAAUUCCUGGUGUAGCGGUGAAAUGCGUAGAGAUUAGGAAGAACACCAGUGGCGAAGGCGAUUCUCUGGACUGUAACUGACGCUGAGGCACGAAAGCGUGGGUAGCAAACAGGAUUAGAUACCCUGGUAGUCCACGCCGUAAACGAUGAGUACUAGGUGUAGGAGGUAUCGACCCCUUCUGUGCCGCAGUAAACACAUUAAGUACUCCGCCUGGGAAGUACGAUCGCAAGAUUAAAACUCUAAAGUGAAUUGACGGGGU
rnacentral:rRNA from 1 species